rnacentral:rRNA from 1 species
UACGUAGGUGGCAAGCGUUGUCCGGAUUUAUUGGGUUUAAAGGGUGCGUAGGCGGCCCUGUAAGUCAGUGCUGAAAUAUCCCAGCUUAACUGGGAGGGUGGCAUUGAUACUGCGGGGCUAGAGUACAGAUGAGGUAGGCGGAAUUUACGGUGUAGCGGUGAAAUGCGCAGAUAUCGGGAGGAACACCUAUGGCGAAGGCAGCUCGCUGGGACGUUACUGACGCUGAGACGCGAAAGCGUGGGGAGCAAACAGG